GACGAACGCUGGCGGCGUGCUUAACACAUGCAAGUCGAACGGAAAGGCCCUGCUUUUGUGGGGUGCUCGAGUGGCGAACGGGUGAGUAACACGUGAGUAACCUGCCCUUGACUUUGGGAUAACUUCAGGAAACUGGGGCUAAUACCGGAUAGGAGCUCCUGCUGCAUGGUGGGGGUUGGAAAGUUUCGGCGGUUGGGGAUGGACUCGCGGCUUAUCAGCUUGUUGGUGGGGUAGUGGCUUACCAAGCCUUUGACGGGUAGCCGGCCUGAGAGGGGGACCGGCCACAUUGGGACUGCGAGACGGCCCAGACUGCUACGGGAGGCAGCAGUGGGGAAUAUUGCACAAUGGGCGGAAGCCUGAUGCAGCAACGCCGCGUGCGGGAUGACGGCCUUCGGGGUGUAAACCGCUUUCGCCUGUGACGAAGCGUGAGUGACGGUAAUGGGUAAAGAAGCACCGGCUAACUACGUG
rnacentral:rRNA from 1 species